rnacentral:rRNA from 1 species
GACAGAGGGUGCAAGCGUUGUUCGGAAUUACUGGGCGUAAAGGGAGUGUAGGCGGCGAAGUAUGUCUGAUGUGAAAUCCCUCGGCUUAACUGAGGAAGAGCAUCGGAAACUGCUUCGCUGGAGUGCGAGAGAGGAUGGCGGAAUUCCCAGAGUAGAGGUGAAAUUCGUAGAUACUGGGAGGAACACCAGAGGCGAAGGCGGCCAUCUGGCUCGCAACUGACGC